GGCUCCAUAGUGUAGUGGUUAGCACAUCUGUGUUACACGCAGGAAGUCCUGGGUUCGCGCCCCAGGUGGAGCCA
rnacentral:tRNA from 1 species